rnacentral:rRNA from 1 species
AACGAACGCUGGCGGCAGGCUUAACACAUGCAAGUCGAGCGCCCCGCAAGGGGAGCGGCAGACGGGUGAGUAACGCGUGGGAAUCUACCCAUCUCUACGGAAUAACGCAUGGAAACGUGUGCUAAUACCGUAUACGUCCUUCGGGAGAAAGAUUUAUCGGAGAUGGAUGAGCCCGCGUUGGAUUAGCUAGUUGGUGGGGUAAGGCCUACCAAGGCGACGAUCCAUAGCUGGUCUGAGAGGAUGAUCAGCCACACUGGGACUGAGACACGGCCCAGACUCCUACGGGAGGCAGCAGUGGGGAAUAUUGGACAAUGGGCGCAAGCCUGAUCCAGCCAUGCCGCGUGAGUGAUGAAGGCCCUAGGGUUGUAAAGCUCUUUCACCGGUGAAGAUAAUGACGGUAACCGAAGAAGAAGCCCCGGCUAACUUCGUACCAGCCGCCGCGGUAAAAC